AAAAAGAUAUUUGGAAGUUGAUCUAAAGAAGCUGCCUUGGUAGACACAGCUGACAACGAGAUAUCUACUUCCCCAAAGGAAAUGGACACCGAGGAAAUCUUACGCCUGGCUGAGGCACAAGGCAAUGAAACAUCCACAAGUGCAACUGAUGAUCUGUUUUCACAGUUUGAGGACAAGGCCAAAAGUGUGAAGCCCCAAAUCCAGGAAGAAAACAAAACCCCCAAAAUCAAGGAGGAGCCAAGAAAUGAA